UGUGAGUAGCGAAAGACGGGUGAGAAUCCCGUCCACCGAUUGACUAAGGUUUCCAGAGGAAGGCUCGUCCGCUCUGGGUUAGUCGGGUCCUAAGCUGAGGCCGACAGGCGUAGGCGAUGGAUAACAGGUUGAUAUUCCUGUACCACCUAUAAUCGUUUUAAUCGAUGGGGGGACGCAGUAGGAUAGGCGAAGCGUGCGAUUGGAUUGCACGUCUAAGCAGUAAGGCUGAGUAUUAGGCAAAUCCGGUACUCGUUAAGGCUGAGCUGUGAUGGGGAGAAGACAUUGUGUCUUCGAGUCGUUGAUUUCACACUGCCGAGAAAAGCCUCUAGAUAGAAAAUAGGUGCCCGUACCGCAAACCGACACAGGUAGUCAAGAUGAGAAUUCUAAGGUGAGCGAGCGAACUCUCGUUAAGGAACUCGGCAAAAUGACCCCGUAACUUCGGGAGAAGGGGUGCUCUUUAGGGUUAACGCCCAGAAGAGCCGCAGUGAAUAGGCCCAAGCGACUGUUUAUCAAAAACACAGGUCUCUGCUAAACCGUAAGGUGAUGUAUAGGGGCUGACGCCUGCCCGGUGCUGGAAGGUUAAGAGGAGUGGUUAGCUUCUGCGAAGCUACGAAUCGAAGCCCCAGUAAACGGCGGCCGUAACUAUAACGGUCCUAAGGUAGCGAAAUUCCUUGUCGGGUAAGUUCCGACCCGCACGAAAGGCGUAACGAUUUGGGCACUGUCUCAACGAGAGACUCGGUGAAAUCAUAGUACCUGUGAAGAUGCAGGUUACCCGCGACAGGACGGAAAGACCCCGUGGAGCUUUACUGUAGCCUGAUAUUGAAAUUCGGCACAGCUUGUACAGGAUAGGUAGGAGCCUUUGAAACGUGAGCGCUAGCUUACGUGGAGGCGCUGGUGGGAUACUACCCUAGCUGUGUUGGCUUUCUAACCCGCACCACUUAUCGUGGUGGGAGACAGUGUCAGGCGGGCAGUUUGACUGGGGCGGUCGCCUCCUAAAAGGUAACGGAGGCGCUCAAAGGUUCCCUCAGAAUGGUUGGAAAUCAUUCAUAGAGUGUAAAGGCAUAAGGGAGCUUGACUGCGAGACCUACAAGUCGAGCAGGGUCGAAAGACGGACUUAGUGAUCCGGUGGUUCCGCAUGGAAGGGCCAUCGCUCAACGGAUAAAAGCUACCCCGGGGAUAACAGGCUUAUCUCCCCCAAGAGUUCACAUCGACGGGGAGGUUUGGCACCUCGAUGUCGGCUCAUCGCAUCCUGGGGCUGUAGUCGGUCCCAAGGGUUGGGCUGUUCGCCCAUUAAAGCGGUACGCGAGCUGGGUUCAGAACGUCGUGAGACAGUUCGGUCCCUAUCCGUCGUGGGCGUAGGAAAUUUGAGAGGAGCUGUCCUUAGUACGAGAGGACCGGGAUGGACAUACCUCUGGUGUACCAGUUGUCGUGCCAACGGCAUAGCUGGGUAGCUAUGUGUGGACGGGAUAAGUGCUGAAAGCAUCUAAGCAUGAAGCCCCCCUCAAGAUGAGAUUUCCCAACUUCGGUUAUAAGAUCCCUCAAAGAUGAUGAGGUUAAUAGGUUC
rnacentral:rRNA from 1 species